CCGGGCGGGAUGUAGCCGGGAGGGAGCCCGCCUCGAAGGAGGGGCUGGAUACUGGGGCCCCGGCCCUCUUCAUCCUAGGAACUCGGACUGUAGGUGCGGGAACCACCGGCCCUGUGGCCGAGGGCUGGCGGAGCCUGUCCCCCAGGGAGCGCUGAGUCCCGGAGGUGGUCAUUCCUGCGGAAAGGGCCGUGGGGCUCAUCCCACCCUGCCCUCUUCUUUCCAGCACUUGCAUGGCGCUUCCCUCCCUUUUCACUUUUCGCAGCUUCCCACACAUUACAUUCCUCUUCCUUUCUCCUCUGCUCUCCUCCGUUCUCCAUUCCGUGCUGUCCUCCUCUUCCAGCGCCCGGUGAGCUUACCUCAGCUCUGAGGUCUGAACCCAGAUCCUCUCCGAUGUGUGGAUUCUGCUCAGUUAUACUCAGGGCUACCCAGGUGCCCUGGCCUCCCACUCUUUUGAGCUGUUCCAGGGAAGUGUCCCAUCUCUGGCCUGCAGGGACAGAGGCCAGGCUGUGACUGUGUGAACAGCAAGGUGUGUGGUGUGUGCGUGUGGGCGUGCACACAGGUGUGAGACUGUAAGAGUGGCACCCAGGCACAGGUAGUACAGGGAGCAGCCAGAGAGGGGGUCUGGGAGCCAUGGGGCAAUCUGAUGGUUUUUCCUUCUGUCUCCGGGCCUGCCCGGCCUGGACCAACAUGUUUGGGGUGGGGGCAGGAGUGGGUGGAUGAACACUGUCCCGUUCCCAGAGAUUUCUAGGGAAAAGGAUUCUACUUCAUCCUUGGUUUUGCCUUUUGGAUCUAUGGCCCUCUUUCCAGGAAGUUUCCUCGGAUAUCUGACACAGAUUCUUCUGUCUCCAUUGGCCACAUUCUCUUGAGGAAGAACACAUCAAAUCAAUAGCAUCCUUUAUGUUUUCAGAGGACUGGAGGGUAGGGCCAUGGGCCUAGCCUCCAUAAACCCAAAAUAAAGCAGGGAUGGCAUGGGACUCGCUCUAUGGUGAUGAGAUGACAGAAGCAGAUGGGGUAUUGGGGCAAGAGCACUGGACUGGGAGUUCAGAGAUGCUGGUUUGCCUUGGGACCUUAGGCAAGUCAUCAUUUGCCUUCUAGGGCCUCAGUUUUCCUUCUACCAAAUGAUAAUAUUCUACCUUUCUACCAGGGUUGGUGUGGGACUCAAGGUAGGCAAUGGCAAUUGCAUUAAUUGCCGACAUGGCUUUGCUAACUGCCAACAUGGCUUUGCUAACUGCCAACAUGAGUUCAGAUUAUUGAUGGUAUUUACACAUGUCCAGGUCUAUGUGAGGCAUAAGAGAACUGUAAGAUUUGGCACCUGCUCUAACUCCAGUCCUGCUAACACACGGGAAACUUUUGAAUCACUAUCAGUGACCCCUGAGGAGCGUCAGCCACGCUGGCUCUCUCAUGUCUCUUCCCAGCGAGCCUCGGGACUCAGUGCCAUUUGCCCAAGAUCUCCAUGGCUGAGCCUGGGGGGCUCUUG